AUGGUGCCGGAGCCCGCGGGUGUGGCUUCCGUGCUCGGCGGCGGCGCUCCCCCACCGGUUGGCGGGGCCUCUGGGACGCUGCCCUCGUUGUCCUCACGCUCGGCCCGGUCGGUCGGGGCGGUAGCCGCCGGCGACUUCACAAUGAUGGUCUCGUCAACGUCUGUCUCAUGGUCGUCCGUCUCGCCACGGUUGGCUGCUUCGGCGGCAGCCCGGGCGUCAGCCUCCGCCCGGUGGGCCGGGUCGCGCCGCGACUUCAAACGACCCUCCUGGGGCGGCGACGGCGGCGGUGAGUUCUACGCCCAAGCCGGCCACGCUGAGUCCUUGGCGGUCCUCUCCCGCGUCCCCGCGGCGGCCCUCCAUGCCGCGCCCGAGGCCUCCUCCGCCUCCUUCGUGGCGGCCGUCCGAUCCCGCCGUGCGGUGCGCUCCACCUCCUCGAGCUCCAUGCCGGUCUGCCGGGCCACGAGCUCCUCCUUGGGGGUCUGGACCGGCUCGCCUCCGUCCACGCCGCUCCGGGCUCUCCGCCCAUCGCGUCCGCCUCCGGGCGCAUUCGGGGCAGCCGUUUCCGUCAACUCGAGGGGGCCCUGUGUGACGUGCGGCGGGCAUGAGAAAGAAGAAAAACAACACCAACUCAGACGGCAAGAUCAUAGCAACAGAGCACUUACCCAUCAACCGUGGGAACCGCCCGUCUCGGACCUACCAAUGGGGCGAGCCGACGCUUCUUCCCACGCACCGACUGCAAGCCUGCAACACAGCUGGGUGCAUCCCGGCUGGCCUCUCCACCACAUCCUUCUCGUGCUCCGGCCACUUCCAUGGCCGCUCAGGCAUGCGUUGUUCCCGGCCUCCUCCUCGUCCGAGUGGGGUAGGUCCGGCAACAGGUCCUGGGGAUUCGGCCCAUCGGCGGUCUGCUGA
rnacentral:rRNA from 1 species